rnacentral:rRNA from 1 species
GGUUAAGCGACUAAGCGUACACGGUGGAUGCCCUGGCAGUCAGAGGCGAUGAAGGACGUGCUAAUCUGCGAUAAGCGUCGGUAAGGUGAUAUGAACCGUUAUAACCGGCGAUUUCCGAAUGGGGAAACCCAGUGUGUUUCGACACACUAUCAUUAACUGAAUCCAUAGGUUAAUGAGGCGAACCGGGGGAACUGAAACAUCUAAGUACCCCGAGGAAAAGAAAUCAACCGAGAUUCCCCCAGUAGCGGCGAGCGAACGGGGAGCAGCCCAGAGCCUGAAUCAGUGUGUGUGUUAGUGGAAGCGUCUGGAAAGGCGUGCGAUACAGGGUGACAGCCCCGUACACAAAAAUGCACAUAUUGUGAGCUCGAUGAGUAGGGCGGGACACGUGGUAUCCUGUCUGAAUAUGGGGGGACCAUCCUCCAAGGCUAAAUACUCCUGACUGACCGAUAGUGAACCAGUACCGUGAGGGAAAGGCGAAAAGAACCCCGGCGAGGGGAGUGAAAAAGAACCUGAAACCGUGUACGUACAAGCAGUGGGAGC